rnacentral:misc_RNA from 1 species
AACCAUUCUCACCUGCGGCUAGACCUGCGGAAGGAUCAUUACGAGAGUGUCACCACUCCCAACCCAUUGUUUACCUACCCGUCCACCGUGCUUCGGCAGGCAGCCCUGUGGGACAGAGCCUCGCCCCCUUUCGCGGGGGGUGCCUGCCGCUUGCCAACCAAAACUCUAGCUGUUUUAGUACCAUCUGAGUCUUCCACAAAUGAACAAAACUUUCAGCAACGGAUCUCAGAUCGGAAGAGC